UCAUGGCUCAGAUUGAACGCUGGCGGCAGGCCUAACACAUGCAAGUCGAGCGGUAACAGANAGUAGCUUGCUACUUUGCUGACGAGCGGCGGACGGGUGAGUAAUGCUUGGGAACAUGCCUUGAGGUGGGGGACAACAGUUGGAAACGACUGCUAAUACCGCAUAAUGUCUACGGACCAAAGGGGGCUUCGGCUCUCGCCUUUAGAUUGGCCCAAGUGGGAUUAGCUAGUUGGUGAGGUAAUGGCUCACCAAGGCGACGAUCCCUAGCUGGUUUGAGAGGAUGAUCAGCCACACUGGGACUGAGACACGGCCCAGACUCCUACGGGAGGCAGCAGUGGGGAAUAUUGCACAAUGGGCGCAAGCCUGAUGCAGCCAUGCCGCGUGUGUGAAGAAGGCCUUCGGGUUGUAAAGCACUUUCAGUCAGGAGGAAAGGUUNACGGUUAAUACCCNUUANCUGUGACGUUACUGACAGAAGAAGCACCGGCUAACUC
rnacentral:rRNA from 1 species